UCAUACUUUGAUUUAGGAAUGGGGUCCCUUCCUGAAAUGGUAAUAUAAACCCAAAAGAGAUGGAGAAAUUAGAGUCAUGAUUCAUUGACCAUAAAGAAGUGAAGGAAUAGGACUUACCACCUGCUGAAAGGACUAUGUUAAAGAACAAUUUGGUGAUUCGACAGUUUAUAAAUUACCAGAAUGGGUGUGAAUUAAGUAUGGUACAGUUGUGUCCUAGCUAUAUUUGAACAAGGAGGCCAGCGCAUCUACCUAGUCAGAAACCAAGACUGAAUUUCAAUAACUUCCUGGGUACACAGCUUGAAGACAGGACCACAACAUGAUCUUGACA